AAUAGAUACCCGGGUAGUCCACGCCGUAAACGCUGGAUACUAGGUGUGGCGUCCCGAUCAACGGAUGCCGUGCCGAAGCUAACGCAUUAAGUAUCCCGCCUGGGGAGUACGGCCGCAAGGCUAAAACUCAAAGGAAUUGACGGGUCCCCGCACAAGCGGCGGAGCAUGCGGCUUAAUUCGAUGCAACCCGAAGAACCUUACCUGGGUUUGAAAUCAUGGGAAAAGCUGUAGAAAUACAGUGUCCGUAAGGGCCCAUGACAGGUGGUGCAUGGCUGUCGUCAGCUCGUGUCGUGAGAUGUUGGGUUAAGUCCCGCAACGAGCGCAACCCUUGUCCUAUGUUGCCAGCGGUUCGGCCGGGGACUCAUAGGAGACUGCCGGGGAUAACUCGGAGGAAGGUGAGGACGACGUCAAGUCAUCAUGCCCCUUAUAUCCAGGGCUGCACGCAUGCUACAAUGGUCGGUACAACGGGCAGCGACCCCGCGAGGGUGAGCGAAUCCCACAAAGCCGGCCUCAGUUCGGAUUGGAGUCUGCAACUCG
rnacentral:rRNA from 1 species